rnacentral:rRNA from 1 species
AUUGAACGCUGGCGGCAGGCCUAACACAUGCAAGUCGAGCGGAUGAAGGGAGCUUGCUCCUGGAUUCAGCGGCGGACGGGUGAGUAAUGCCUAGGAAUCUGCCUGGUAGUGGGGGAUAACGUCAGGAAACGGGCGCUAAUACCGCAUACGUCCUGAGGGAGAAAGUGGGGGAUCUUCGGACCUCACGCUAUCAGAUGAGCCUAGGUCGGAUUAGCUAGUUGGUGGGGUAAAGGCCUACCAAGGCGACGAUCCGUAACUGAUCUGAGAGGAUGAUCAGUCACACUGGAACUGAGACACGGUCCAGACUCCUACGGGAGGCAGCAGUGGGGAAUAUUGGACAAUGGGCGAAAGCCUGAUCCAGCCAUGCCGCGUGUGUGAAGAAGGUCUUCGGAUUGUAAAGCACUUUAAGUUGGGAGGAAGGGCAGUAAGUUAAUACCUUGCUGUUUUGACGUUACCAACAGAAUAAGCACCGGCUAACUUCGUG